UGGGCACUAAAUGUUAGAAAAACUCUGCUCGGCUGUCAUACCCUUGCUCAGUCUAGGGGGAGGGAUGUGACACUUCAACUACUAGCAUGAUUUGUGUGUAAGUAAUUGUUGAACUUUUUUUUUACAUAAUCAGCUUUCACCACUCACAGUUAUGCUUAGAGUUGGCUAAACUAUUACUUAGAGUGUUAGAAUAAUAGGAAGAAGCUUUGCAAUAAAAUUAGAAAUAUCUAAUACUC
rnacentral:lncRNA from 1 species